rnacentral:rRNA from 1 species
GACGAACGCUGGCGGCGUGCUUAACACAUGCAAGUCGAACGAUGGAGCUGGAGCUUGCUCCGGUGGAUUAGUGGCGAACGGGUGAGUAACACGUGAGCAAUCUGCCCUUGACUCUGGGAUAACUGCGGGAAACUGUAGCUAAUACCGGAUACGAGGCUCGAAGGCAUCUUCGGGUCUGGAAAGAAUUUCGGUCAAGGAUGAGCUCGCGGCCUAUCAGCUUGUUGGUGAGGUAAUGGCUCACCAAGGCGACGACGGGUAGCCGGCCUGAGAGGGUGACCGGCCACACUGGGACUGGGAUACGGCCCAGACUCCUACGGGAGGCAGCAGUGGGGAAUAUUGCACAGUGGGCGCAAGCCUGAGGCAGCGACGCCGCGUGGGGGAUGACGGCCUUCGGGUUGUAAACCUCUUUCAGCACCGACGAAGCGCAAGUGACGGUAGGCGCAGAAGAAGGACCGGCCAACUACGUGCCAGCCGCCGCCGUAA